rnacentral:rRNA from 1 species
UACGGAGGGUGCGAGCGUUGUCCGGAAUCACUGGGCGUAAAGGGCGCGUAGGCGGCGCGGAUAGUCGGCGGUGAAAGCCCGGAGCUCAACUCCGGGUCGGCCGUCGAUACUUCCGGGCUUGAGCACUGUAGAGGCAGAUGGAAUUCCGGGUGUAGCGGUGGAAUGCGUAGAGAUCCGGAAGAACACCGGUGGCGAAGGCGGUCUGCUGGGCAGUUGCUGACGCUGAUGCGGCGACAGCGGUGGGGAGCAAACGAGGAU